rnacentral:rRNA from 1 species
GCGGCCUAUCAGCUUGUUGGUGAGGUAAUGGCCYACCAAGGCAACGACGGGUAGCUGGUCUGAGAGGAUGAUCAGCCACACUGGGACUGAGACACGGCCCAGACUCCUACGGGAGGCAGCAGUGGGGAAUCUUGCGCAAUGGGCGAAAGCCUGACGCAGCAACGCCGCGUGCGGGAUGAAGGCCUUCGGGUUGUAAACCGCUUUCAGCAGGAACGAAAAUGACGGUACCUGCAGAAGAAGGAGCGGCCAACUACGUGCCAGCAGCCGCGGUGACACGUAGGCUCCUAGCGUUGUCCGGAUUUAUUGGGCGUAAAGAGCUGGUAGGCGGUUUAGUAAGUCGGGUGUUAAAACUCUGGGCUCAACCCGGAGACGCCAUYCGAUACUACUAUGACUUGAGUUCAGGAGGGGAGACUGGAAUUCCU